CAGUAGACAUGGCAUCAUUUCGAAAAAUAUUUGAUAAUUUAGCUAUUAAAAAAAAAUGGUGAACCUUUGAAGCAUCUUUCAAGACGUUUUCUCAGUAGAAAAAUCGUGGAAAAUUUUGAUAAUCGAAUGACACAAAUUAAAAAACAUAUCGACGAGAGAGCAACCGUGGUCUGCACAACUGCAGAUGUGUGGAGUAAUAAUUGUCGGCGGUUCAUGGGUGUUACAGUACACUGGAUUGAUCAAGGAAAUUUACAGAGAAAGUCAGCUGCAAUAGCCUGUCGACGUUUUUCGGGCACACAUUCCUACGAUCGCAUAGCUGCUUUGUUGACAGAAAUUCAUUCGACUUUCAAAUUGAAUCCGGAAAAGGUAGUGGCGGUGGUGACGGAUAAUGGAUCAAACUUCAUUAAAGCUUUCAGGGUGUUCGGCGUGAAUAUGCCCGACGAUUUUUUUUCGCGGGUCUCACAUCUGGAAAUGCGGGUGGCAGUACGAUUGAAGAUGAAAAUUCGGCAUCUGAUUUGGAGUACACAACGAUUGCGGAAGAUACAGCAGCAUACGAAAAUAUGCCUGAUGACGAUUCCCAGAAUUUCGAGUUGCCUAAGCAUUUUCGCUGCGCGAGUCACACGCUCAAUUUGAUAGCAACG
rnacentral:lncRNA from 1 species